GCCGGAACAGCACUACUCUCACCCCAAAUCCCACAAUCAUGGCCGGCAGCGGAGUUCUCGCAGUGGGGCGGAUGAAGCUCGGUUCGCAGGGCCUAGAGGUCUCCCGCCAGGGCCUCGGCUGCAUGGGGAUGUCGGCGUUCUACGGGCCCGCCAAGCCGGAGCCCGACAUGAUUGCUCUCAUUCACCACGCCGUAGCCACCGGCGUCACUUUCCUCGACACCUCCGACAUCUACGGUCCCUUCACCAACGAGAUGCUACUCGGCAAGGCCCUGCAAGAAGGGGUGAGGGAGAAGGUGCAGCUGGCGACUAAGUUUGGGGUAGUUAGUUCUGGGGGGUUGACGGAGAUCCGUGGGGAUCCGGCCCAUGUGAGGGCUUCGUGCGAGGGAAGCUUGAAGCGGCUUGGGAUUGACUGCAUCGAUCUGUAUUACCAGCACAGGAUUGACACCAGGUUGCCCAUUGAGGUCACGAUUGGAGAACUUAAGAAGCUAGUUGAAGAAGGAAAGAUCAAAUACAUAGGUCUAUCCGAGGCAUCGGCUUCAACAAUCAGGAGGGCACAUGCAGUUCAUCCGAUCACGGCUGUCCAGCUGGAGUGGUCUUUAUGGACCAGAGAUUCAGAGGCAGACAUCAUUCCAACAUGCCGCGAACUCGGAAUAGGGAUUGUUGCAUAUAGCCCACUAGGGAGGGGCUUCUUCUCCUCCGGGCCGAAGUUGCUUGACAGCUUGUCCGACCAAGAUUUCCGCAAGUAUUUGCCUAGGUUACAGCCAGGGAAUCUGGAGCACAAUGUAUCCAUGUUUGAUAGGGUAAAUGAGAUGGCCACGCGGAAGGGCUGCACAACUUCUCAGUUAGCGUUGGCCUGGGUUCACCACCAGGGGUGUGAUGUAUGCCCAAUUCCUGGCACUACUAAGACCGAGAACUUCAAUCAGAACAUCGGAGCACUGUCCGUGUCACUCACUCCUGAGGAAAUGGCUGAGCUUGAAUCGUUCGCUUCCCCUGAUAUCGUAAAGGGCGAGAAGGAUUCAUUUGGAGUUCGUUCCUGGGAGGAUUCUGAUACCCCUCCUUUGUCAUCCUGGAAAGAGGAAUGAGCUAUCACAAUCAAUUGCUCGGACUCUGUCUCAGAAACUGAUUGUUCCCUGUUGCAAUUUCCCUUGAUGCAUGUGUGAGUGUGUUAAAUAAAUCCUGAGGCCAC
rnacentral:misc_RNA from 1 species